AUGUCCGUCCACGACCAUAAUAGCCUCGGGAUUAAAAUACCAGGCAUUGUCCCUGCCGGGCCGCACGCUGGGAAUUGUUUGCUCCUAAACUUGCCCCUAAAAAUACCCUGGGAACAGGUGCUGCCGGCCCCAGCCUCCUGCAGCGGGGACACCCGGCUUUGUGGGGCGGGGGGCAGAUGGCAGCUUUUUUUGCUAAUUUUCAGUGAUUUCAUGGGGAAAACAUCAGGGCUGAUGAAGGGCUGGAAGUCACUGAAGCAUCCCAACCUGCCAGGCUGUGCUGGGUCUGGAGGACCGAGUCUGGCUGGUCCUGCCCCACAAAAAGGGGGCUGCCCCCUCCUCGGUCCCAAGCAGCCACCAAGCAGGUCUGGUGGUGUAAGCCCAUCUGUGCUGUUUUUCCCCCUUGCCCCUUGUUGGUGGGCCCUGUCCUGCCCCCCUGCAGCCACAACCCCGUGGCCAGUGCUCCCGUGGGGAUCUCGCUGUGUGCUUGCAGCUCUGCACAGUGCGCAGGCACCACCGUGCAUGGGCGCCUGCACAUCAGCUCACCUGGCCAUCCACCCCCAUCUCCCUUCAGAGGCUUUCUUCAAAAAACAAAAAACAUAUCAGGAGAUUUUCCGCAGGGAAAAAGCACCGCCAUGCUUUGGGUUGUGGCUUCUGUCUCCUUGCAGGGCUUUUCCAGCUCAGAAGGGAGAGGAGCGCAGUGGAAAGCGCACGGGCACUGCGCCCCUGGUCAGCCUGGCUUGGCACAGCUGCGUGCACACACAAACACGUGCACGCACAGGGCAUCGGGCAGUGAGCACCAGCAUUACCGGGGUGAGCCAUCCACCGAGAGCCCAGGAAUUCCCCAAAUUGCGCGGGGGUCAUGGCUGCAAUAAAACACGGGUGCGACAGCGCGCGCAUGCGGUGCCUCGUGGCGCCCCGUCUUCGAGGCCGUGCCCCAGGUGGGUGCCGCACGUCACAGGGCGCCGGGGCUCGCAGCAAACAUGUGCACACAAGAGGGGAUUUGUGCUAUUUUUACUGACCACUUGCAAGCCGCCUGUGGUUUAA
rnacentral:lncRNA from 1 species